rnacentral:rRNA from 1 species
GACGAACGCUGGCGGCGUGCUUAACACAUGCAAGUCGAACGGAAAGGCCUCUUUCGGGGGGUACUCGCGUGGCGAACGGGUGAGUAACACGUGAGUAACCUGCCCUUGACUUUGGGAUAACUUCAGGAAACUGGGGCUAAUACCGGAUAGGAGCUCCUGCUGCCUGGUUGGGGUUGGAAAGUUUCGGCGGUUGGGGAUGGACUCGCGGCUUAUCAGCUUGUUGGUGGGGUAGUGGCUUACCAAGGCUUUGACGGGUAGCCGGCCUGAGAGGGUGACCGGCGACAUUGGGACUGAGAUACGGCCCAGACUCCUACGGGAGGCAGCAGUGGGGAAGAUUGCACAAUGGGUGGAGGCCUGAUGCAGCAACGCCGUGUGCGGGAUGACGGCCUUCGGGUUGUAAACCGCUUUCGCUCAUGACGAAGCUUUGUGUGACGGUAGUGGGUAAAGAAGCACCGGCUAACUACGUG